CCUCUCAGCAAGAUAAUGAUCUCUCUCAGCCCUAAUCCUUGCUUUUUCCGCUUCCCAUUCUGUAGUAAGGACUUUAUCUCUGGCUUCCCUCUGAUUCUUCACAAGGAUUUGCCUCCUCUUCUCAUCCUCAAUGACCCUCAAAGCUUUAGCCAACCUCUCCUUGGUGAUGUCGUGCUCCCUUGUGGAUGACUCCAAAGCUUGGCUGACCUUGCCA
rnacentral:lncRNA from 1 species